GCCGUGAGUGAACUCUUAUAAAGCGUCCACCUUCUGUUUAAAAGCUGUCUAGUGCUUGUUUGGUUUUCCUGAAGUGUUCGUUUUUGUGGUGCAACACGAAUAAUACACACAAAGCAGAAAGUAAAAAUGUUUUUCGGUCAAUACAAGUCGGCGUAAAGCUCCGAGCCGUGCUCUUAUGUGACUUUUCCAUAAUGUUUAGGCGAAACUUCAGAUAGUAAGACAGAUGUCCUGCCAGAGUGGCAAGGUUGCUGGGGAGGAAAGUCAGCAUUGGAAGUUUAGGUCUACAGCUUCAUCACCGUGACUGGAAGUAGAAUUCCCUCCCGAUUUUUUACCUUCAGUUUCGACUACGGGCAACCAUUUGCACACAUCGAACUGGCAGUGAAAAGAAGGAAAAUACAGCGUGAGGAAAAUCUUAAGGAAAGGACUGAGUCCUGCUGUCGUAUCCGCUACGCCCUACUGAGCCAAUUUCUAAGCAUUCGAAAGUUGGAACGAAAAAGGUUGAAUGAUAAUUUUGGAGGAAUGCGGUGACUAAUUCUAAUUUUGUGUAUUUAAAUAUUUCUGUCAGGUUGUGUUGUGACAUUGGCGUGGUAAAUGAAGCUUAAUUAUGUUGUUUAUUUGUGGGUGGGCCUCUCUUUAUGAAAACAUUCUCCAAUUACUACCAAGAUGGAUGGAUUGUGGAGGCUUUGUCAUCCCCCAGCAGAACAGAAAAAGUAAAAAAAAAAUGCAAAAAGCAUAGCACCAUCACGAGAUUAA